GCUCCUGUGGCCCAAUGGUCAAGGCGCGUGCCUACGGAGCACGAGAUUCCGAGUUCGAAUCUCGGCAGGGGCU
rfam:Plasmodiophora brassicae isolate e3 genome assembly, contig: scaffold_12